AGCUAAGUGGUGUAUUGGUUUGUUCGUUUCCUGUACACUGCCGACAAGUAAUAAUGAAAUAAGCAUGUAGAAAGCUUUCGGCGAAUAUGUUUGGACGCGGGUUCGAUUCCCGCCGGCUCCA
rnacentral:tRNA from 1 species